GAGCCUCCGGGGAUGCAGGCGGUGGCCAGCUACGAAAAAAGCUCGGUCGAACGGGGACAGGUGCUGAAGGAGGCGCAAGAGGCGGCCAGGCCACAUUGGCCAAAUGCGCUCGACAAGACUGGAGUUCACGUUUGGAGGAAAAUGCCAAGAUGGCAGAGGUCCGCACAGAUGUCUUGAAACACCGGCUGACGCUGAACCCAGUGAAGCAGCACGUGGCACGUGCGGCCUGUCGACACGAAGCUCCUCAACUCGCUUUAGUGCGGUUGCAAGAUGCCACGAGGUGGCACCCGAGCACUACUUCUUCAUUAGAUCUGGCUAGGAAACGCAAAUAUGAAUGCAAUGGCUCCUUCCAUAUCCUUCGGUCACUACAAUGACCUACAGCUGUCGAAAGGCCAUGACGGGGCUUGGCGUAAACGCAGCAUUCUCCUCCCAUUUCCGGCCUCCAGAGUGCCAAGCGAGCGGGAACCACGAGAGUAAGAAAGGCCUCCGUCAGACACGGGCAGUUCAAUCAAGCGAGCGCAGAAAUAGCCUCCCUCCCGACUUCCCCCGGCGUCCGUCCGUCACUCUAGGCUCAUGUGACCUCUUUUCUGCAAAGGACAGCCGGCAGCCUCACUCCUCGACUUUGCCCUCGCUACUCCUCCUAACGUAUUUAUCUGCUUGUGGCUGUUUUGAGAAUGACUUGGAAUGUACUUGACAUGCCACACCUUUAAAAAUGCUGAGUUCAAAACACGCUAAUUUGGGCUCUCCCAGGAAGUUGGGUCAAAUUGAACCAAUUUGCAGUCUCACUGCUGUUUGUCUAUCCAUGAAAAGACUAAUCGCAUACAAAUUGACUUGCAUUAAGAAUAUACAGUAAACAUUU